ensembl:snRNA U6 U6 spliceosomal RNA
GUGCUCGCUUUGGCAGCACAUAUACUGCAACUGGAACGAUACAGGCAAGAUCAGCAUGGCCCCUGUGCAAGGAUGACACUCAAAUUCGUGACGCGUUCCAUAUUUUU